GCGGCAACAGCUCAAAUUUGAAAUCUGGCCCUUUCAGGGUCCGAGUUGUAAUUUGUAGAGGAUGUUUCGGGUGUGGCUCCGGUCUAAGUUCCUUGGAACAGGACGUCAUAGAGGGUGAGAAUCCCGUAUGUGACUGGAAGCCUUCGUCCAUGUGAAACUCCUUCGACGAGUCGAGUUGUUUGGGAAUGCAGCUCAAAAUGGGUGGUAAAUUUCAUCUAAAGCUAAAUACUGGCCAGAGACCGAUAGCGCACAAGUAGAGUGAUCGAAAGAUGAAAAGCACUUUGGAAAGAGAGUUAAAAAGUACGUGAAAUUGUUGAAAGGGAAGCGCUUGCAACCAGACUUGCUCGCGGUUGCUCAGCCGGUGUUCUCACCGGUGCACUCUUCCGCGAUCAGGCCAGCAUCGGUUUGGGCGGCUGGAUAAAGGCUCUGGGAAUGUGGCUCCUCUCGGGGAGUGUUAUAGCCCGGGGUGCAAUGCAGCCCGCCCGGAUCGAGGACCGCGCUUCGGCUAGGAUGCUGGCGUAAUGGUUGUAAGCGACCCGUCUUGAAACACGGACCAAGGAGUCUAACAUCUAUGCGAGUGUUUGGGUGUCAAACCCAUGCGCGUAAUGAAAGUGAACGGAGGUGGGAACCCUUAAGGGUGCACCAUCGACCGAUCCUGAUGUCUUCGGAUGGAUUUGAGUAAGAGCAUAGCUGUUGGGACCCGAAAGAUGGUGAACUAUGCCUGAAUAGGGUGAAGCCAGAGGAAACUCUGGUGGAGGCUCGCAGCGGUUCUGACGUGCAAAUCGAUCGUCAAAUUUGGGUAUAGGGGCGAAAGACU
rnacentral:rRNA from 1 species